GAUGCCUGAUCUCAUCAAUCUAGCGGGAGAGACAGGAUAACCUGUCCGAGAGUAUAGCGCCACUAUGACUCCGCCGGAAAAAUUACUUUAAAAAUCGCCAAAAAUUACUUGGAGCAAAGGGCAGUCGGCGGAGCUUCGCCAAAGCUGGCGCAGUCGGUUUUGACCUGUAGCAGAGAACCAAUUCUGGAGAACAGCCUCACUUCUUUGAUUGAAUACUCACAUAAUGCAUUGGAACAUGACAUGAGAUUAAGGUUUAAUAAUGAUAGAAUGAAGACCAUAAUAAAAGAGACCUCUACUUAGCAAUUCUUACCUUUCUUACCUAUUUGAUGAAGAUGUCUUUUGAAAGGUGUACUGCAAGGAACAAAAUGUUUGUAAAUUCUGCUUUUACCAAGGUGGAUAAUUACUGUACCUUCCUCAUGGAAAAAGUUUUAUUUAAAGUGUUAUUUCUCAUUGAAUACUAUCAAAAAGGAAAAAAAAUGACAUAAACUUUUGAGAUAGAUUUGGCUCUAGUAAGUAUUUAGAUAUAUCACUUGCAUAUCUGGGAGAAGAAAUAAGAGACUAUCAUCAAUACAUUCCCAUCUACUAAAAAAUUUUCUUUUACACAUGUCAAGGGAUUACUUAUAACUUCCAUUUUAUUACUAAUAGCUCGAACCCGUUUAAUGAAGACCAAACUCCUCCACCAGAAAUUUAAGUUUAUGUUCUUACUUUGUUUACUUAUAAAAUACAUCUCAGGUAUUUUGGAUGUCUUUUUUUUUUUCUAAGCCUAUAUGCAAUGAAAAAUAUAUUGGCAAAAUAAAUGUUUAAACCUUUUACGUUAAAGUUACUUUGAAAGAUGACAAGUUAGCUGCUGUUUUUGUCUACAUUAUACUGAAAUUAAAUGUUUAUAAUUUAUAUUUUGGGUUUAUUUAUUUAUAAAUCAUGGAGUUUAUGCAAAAACAUGAGUAGUACAGAUUCUCCUCCAAUUCUGUAGGACUUUGAAUAAUGUGAUAUUUUUCUUAUAAUUGGACCCUUGUGUUUUGAAGAAAUGCCAACUGCUUGAAGAAUCUCCUUGUUAUUUGUAUUAUUUGCUAUAGGGUUAGAUGUUGAGAAAUUCUGCUGACAAAAAAUUUUAAGCCAGUUUUACACUAAAUGUUCCUCAGUCUGAUUAAUUUGUUAUUGGAUGUAUUCUGUAUCUUUCUUUUGUAAUUUGUAACUUUUACCCACUUAGCACGAAUGAUUCUAUUAAAGAAAAUCAUUAGGAAGUGGUAGAAACUUUAAAUCACCCCAGAGUUUGCCUGUUUCCAUAUUUUAUUAUCUUAUAAUCUUUGGGAGUGCUUACACUUAUAGAGCUAACAUUUUCAGAGAUACAGGUUCUCAUAGUACCACUAAAACUUUCUUCCUCUUUGGACUGAAUACCUAUAAUUAUAACUAUAUGGUAGUUUAAGUUUCCUUGUGAUUAGUCAAAAAUACCAUUUUAGUAUGAAGCAAUGAAGUCUAUUAUUUGUUGUCCCAUAAUUGAGAAAGCUUAAAUACACCUUUUAUUAAGAGUUUGUAAAUUCUAGCUUAGUCUACACAGAUUUUUAUAUCAAUUUGUUUAUAUUUUUAUUAAUGUCAUUUCUGGAAGUGUGAAAAUGUUAAUGUUCGACAAGCAACAUUAAAAAUAGAUUUAAAACAUUUA
rnacentral:antisense_RNA from 1 species